rnacentral:hammerhead_ribozyme from 1 species
GAACUACUGAGGAGUCCAACACUAGGACGAAAUGGGCUGUCUAGUGC